UUGUAUAAUGCUCCUGUCUUUGAAUCCGAACUUAUAUACCAGUGGAGCAUCUCCAAUCCCAGAUUCAUGGGCACAUCUAUUUAGCAUAAGCCAGGAGGAAAGAUGUUGGUAGCAGGCAAAGAGCAGAAUCCGACCCGGAGUGGGCAGUUGCCUGAAAUAUCAGACAUCCUUUCCUCCUGGCUGCGGAGACCUCUGAGAGACAGAGGCAGGACCCGGGAUCGCGCGCCACCAAGCCACCAACCCAACCCAGCAACUUACGUGCGCGCAUCAGGCUUCUGAGCACAUGAACAGAACACAAGAAUACUACAAGUUAAAUUAAAGCCAGCAGAUGAAAGUUAAAAUCCCUGGAAUCAAGAUGCCAGGUGGUAUUCCUGGAAGGACAAAGAAAUGUGUCAAAUGGAUUAAAGUUAACCUGCUUUUCAACUGGUUUGCAAGAAGAAUUUGUUCAGAGUAGAUGUUGGAGUGACUCCCCUUAAAGUCACUGAAAGCUGAUUUGUCUCUGCUUGCUCUCAAGCCAAACCAGGGGACCAGUGGCAAUCCUGGGAGUUCUAAAGAAAAGCUCUUUUUAUCAAUCAUAUGGUUAAUGCUCAACCACUGUGUGUUCUCUCUCUUGUUUUUAUCACACUCUUAGGAAAUUAUAGACUUGUAAAAUAUCAAGGCCAGCAAGAUGGCUCAGUAAGGGUCCUGGCUACCAAGCCUGAAGGACUGACCGACCAACUGCUGGGACCCUGGGAUUCAUGUGGUGGAUGGAAAGACAGAGCUGAAUCUUACACAUUGCUCUCUAGCAUGGCACUUUGACAUGUGUAUGAACUCCUUAACCCACAUGCAAUCCAUGUAAUGAAAAAUUGGAGUAUAGUUAAUGUCUCUCUUCAGUCCUUAAUCUUACAGACAGUCUAGUCAUUGUAUGAUCCUGUUUAAAAACCAGUGAUGCUCACAGGUGGAGAGGCAAUGUAGCACAAUGAGCGGGUUCUAUGUAACCUGAGCUUUUCCACCUGGCCUCUUUCUUCCCUGAAAUAAUUAUCCCAUUUAAACUAGUCUAAGUCAUGUCACGUGAUUAGUUACCUCUCCUCAGGUUCAUGUGUCUGUCUCCAUCAGCAUUCUGGGAGAGUCUUUCAUCCCUGAACUUUUUCUAGAACCCAAUCUCUAUCUGCUGGAUGUUCCACCUUCUAAUCCUGCCCCAGCUCAUUGGCCAUGGGCUUUUAUUAACAGGUGAUGCUUCCACUCAGUACAAAAAAAUUUUCUCUACAGUUCUGGAUCGAGACUUGGGAAUCUACAAUCCAGUGUCCCCACCUAUAGGAGCCUAAGUAAUUGCUUUUUCUUAUUCCAAUUUUACCACUUGCAAAAUGGCCACAUUAACAGUAAUUCAUGUGGACUAGUGAAGACAGUAUGAAACAGAUGUCUACACUUAUAUCCAAACGCCAUGGAAAACAAUGUCACUCAUUGUAACAACAUUAGCUUGUGUCCAUUCUCAUAUGUGUCACUGAGAAUUCUGAGUGCUCACUGUUAGUUGGAGUUAACCUGGAAAGUGUCCCAUUCUUGAGUAAAACCAUGUUCUGCUGUCUUGGUUGAGCCUCAUUAGUUAAACUCUCCAAAAAAAGGCAUUAAAUGUCAGGGUGCAGAGUCCUUACUGAAUUAUGUUCAGAUUUUGAUAGAAUAAAUGGUCUGGGAGGUGAAGGAAGCCCUGGGUGAGUGACAUCCUGGAUAAAUAUGUUGUUUGACAUGGGCAAGGCCAUGACAAGGACCAUAACCUCAGACCCAUAGGAAAUGGCAAAGUCUCCCCUCCCCCUACAAGGUGACGCACAGGUGAAUGGCAAAGCCUCCCUUUGGUCCACGUCCAGAUAUUGAUAAUGUAUAACAAACAAAAAUAAUGUCCAUGAAAGCUUUCUCCCCCUGAAUAUUUAUGUCCUAAAGACAGCUUCCCUAUAGAGAUUGCUUCUACCAAAAUUAGAUAACCUUUCCUCUUUGUUUAUUUGUAUGCAGUAAUCCUGUCCCCUUAUUCAGCUAUAUGCAAUAAUCUGGAUUCUCCGUUCAACCACACAUAAUAAAACACUAAGACCCUAGGGUGCUGAGAAUUCACCAUCAGAAUGGUCAAACCCCGUCAGAUCCCAGCUUUUUUGUGUGUCUAUAUGUUUGUCUUUUCUUCAUUCCCUUGUCAUCCCUGUCAGGUCUGUUCCUGGAGCAUGGACAUGGCAAAAAGAUGUUUCAGAAAUGUUUAACAAGUGAAUGAAGGAUAGCUGGGGAAUAGUUCCUACAUAUUUAGAUUAGUCUCUGUGGGAAAAAAAAAAAAAAAAAAAACAUCAAGUUAGAAUAAUGACUGAACCAGGGACAGGGAGACAUGACAGACUCGAAGCAGAGGCCAACAGAACUGUGUGACUGGCUGACAGCAAAGACGGGGAGCUAUGACUGGGAGGAUUUACCCCCAGUGCUAGGGAUAAAAGUCGGAGCCCUGCAUAUGUUGGGCAAGUGCUCUGCCACUGAGCAACAUUCCCUAGCACUGACUUUUGAGACAGAAUCUCAUUAUUACAAAUAAUGGUCCCACUGCCUCCACUUUCGCAAGUGUUGUGAUUAUAGUCCCUUACCAGCAUGCCUGACCUGAAGAUUUAGAAAAUUUUAAAGCUAAAAUUGAAAUAU
ensembl:antisense E030013I19Rik RIKEN cDNA E030013I19 gene